rnacentral:ncRNA from 1 species
GUAAGGUUCGCUAUAGACGCGAUUAAAAAGGGAAUGGAGUGGAAAUCUCCGACUGUCCCGCAGCUGUAAGUUCCAUUAUACUCACAAGCAACAAGCCACUGCCAAUGACGGGAAGGCGCUUGAGGGUGGAACAGAGUCAGAAGACCUGCCUUAUGUA